rnacentral:lncRNA from 1 species
UUUUUUUUUUUUUUUUUGCCUUUUCUAGGGCCGAUCCCACGGCAUAUGGAGGUUCCCAAGCUAGGGGUCUAAUCACAGCCUACGCCACAGCCACAGCAAUGCGGGAUCUGAGCCGCAUCUGCAACCUACACCACAGCUCACCGCAACACAGGAUCCUUAACCUACCGAGUGAGGUCAGGGAUUGAACCCGCGUCUUCAUGGAUGCUAGUCGGGUUUGUUAGCCACUGAGCCACGACAGGACCUCCCCCUUUUCAUUGCUUACUUUUGGAGUUAAGCUUCUCUCAUCCCCACCUUCGCCCAUAAGGAGGAUGGGGUGUGGGGGAGCACAGCCUGACCAACCUCACCCCCCGCAGGAGAGGAGCACCUCCUCCAGGCCAAGGAGAUGGGGCGUCCCGCCCACAUCACCACCCCCUCCAUCUGCAUUUCCCCAAAGUCUGCCCUGCCCUGCAGGCUCUGCAUCCGAGAAGGAUGAGCACAUUCACAGCACUGGGGCCAAGUGUUCCCCACAGGGCAGAGAACCAGGAGGACAAACACAGAGGGCACCCAGGGGGCCAAGCUCCCUGCCCCCACCCCCUUCCCGCCUUGAGUUUGGGUGAGGGGUGGGGCCCAGCCUUGUGCGGAAAGCUUUCUGCUCCUGUCAGGAGCCGACUUCGUGCCUCCCUACCUUCUCCUUUUCUUUCCUUCCUUUCUUGCUUUGCUUGCAGCAUAUGGAAGGUUCCAGGCUAGAGGUCAAAUCAGAGCUGCAGCUGCUGGCCUACCCCACAGCCACAGCAACACCAGAUCCAAAUUCCAUCUGCGACCUACACCCCAGCUCAUGGCAACGCCGGAUCCUUAACCCACUGAGCGAGGCCAGGGAUUGAACCCGAAUCCUCAUGGAUACUAGUCAGAUUCUUAACCCACUGAGCCACGGUGGGAACUCUACCUUCUUUUCUGCACUAAUCCUGGAGAUCACUGGGCUCGCCCCCUUCUACCUGACCCAAAUCAACCUCUCCCCUCAGUGCUCUGGCUCUCUCUUCUGGGCCUUUGUGGGGCCGGUCCCCCUGCUUGGCAGUCUUCCCGCCCUUCUUGCAGUCUGGCCUUGCUAAAUGCAGGAAGCCUAGUCCUACCUGCUCGGGGCUCGUCACCUGCACCCCAAGACCCCUGUGCUUUCCCGACAUUGCACUCUUUGCUCUGGCAGAAUUUGCCCGUAACAUGUCUGUCUCGCCUGCUAGAUCCCAAGCUGCAGGUGGCAAAUGACUUCAUCUUGCCUGGGCAAUGCUGGGUCCCCCAUGCCCAGUCUAGUGUCUGACUCAUGUGACAAGUGCUCAGUAAGCUCUGUUGAACAAAUGAACAAGGCAGUCGUCUGGGCAGAGUGAAGCAAAGGAGAUUUUUGACAUCACGAGCACCUUUGCUGGGAGUGGCAGCGAUGGGAGUUUCUGAACCUGAUGUGUAAGCGUCCUCCUGGUGAACCUGUCCCUGCCCCCCCCCAGUGUGGCACUCCCUGGCCCACACGGUUAGCUCUCCCCAGACCCUCUGGUAAAAGCCUUCUGUACCAUCACCCCUUCUCCACCUCCCAGCACCCAGAGGUCCCAUCCUUUCCUGAUUUGCAUUUGCCUCGCUAAUUAAUGGAGUCACCAGCCCACCACCCUGUAUAUAUCUGAUGGUUUGCUUUCCAGAGUAGAAGCACUCUGGGCAUCCCCUGGUAGGUCAAUGGGUUAAGGAUCUGGUGUUGUCACUUCUGUGGCACAGGUUCAAUCUGUGGCCUGGGAACUUAAACACACACACACACACACACACACACAAAAAAAAAAAAAAAAAAAAAAAAACCAAAGUGGAAGAACUCAUAUCUACUGUAUUGCUUCAGCCUCACAGGGGAGCUGAGAGCCUUUACAGAGCAGCAGCUUAGACCUCACCUCUGGAGCCUGACUCUGAGUUUGAAUCCCCGCUUUAUCACUUACCAUCCGAUGCAUUGAGCAAGUUACUUCACGUUUCUCUGCCUCUCUUUCCUCAUCUGCAAGAUGAACUUAUUAGGAGCAGCUACCUUGUGGGGUUAUUGCAAAAGUAACUGAGUUAUGCGUCUGGUAGCCAGUCUCCAAAAUCAUUCCCAAAUGAACCUCCCCUCCGCCCCGGUGUUCACACGGCUGGGCCUUCCCACAGUGAAGAGGGCCGAUCCGUGUAACCAGUGGGAUAAUGUGAAAAGGAUGGUGUGUGACUUCUAAACUGGGUCAUGAAAGACAGUGAGGCUUCUGCCUGCCUUCCUUGGGUCACUGGCCCUGGCGGAGGCCGGCCAGCCACCAUGCCCUGAGGACAGGCAGCAGCCCUCUGGAGAGGUUCCGCGAGUAUGGGAGCGGAGGGCUCCUGCCAUCCGCCAACACCAACUUGCCAGGCGGGUGACUGCGCCAUCUCGGAAGCUGAUCCGCCAGCCCUUGGGUUUCUGCCACCCUGACCAACUUCUCUGCUGCACCCUCCUCAGAGCCCCUGAGCCAGAAUCCCCCAUUUUAGCUGCUCCUGCACUUCUAAUCCACGUAGACUGCGAGUGCUUGUGGUUUUCGGCAAUUGAGUUUUAGGAUAAUUUGUGUCACAGCUGUGGAUAACUAAUACGAUGUUGAAAAUGCUUAGAAAGUUGUCUGACACGUAGUCACCAUACCCGUUCGCCAUCGUGAGCUCCCCUUUACAGGAAGGAAGACUGAGGCUCAGGCUGGUGAAGGGAUAGCCCUCAGGUACAUGCAUCACUAGGAAGGGGCCUGGCCAGGCAUGUUGUCAACCCCGGGCCUUUGAUGCCAGCCACCCAGCCCUUUUUUCGGACCCUCUGCCCACCAUUCCAGUUAUCUGUUGCUGAGCAACGAUACCUAGUGGCAUUAAAACCACUGCUUGAGGAAUUGCCAUCAUAGCUCAGCGGUAACGAAACCAACGAGUAUCCCUGAGGUUGCAGGUAUGACCCCUGGGCCCCACUCAGUGGGUUAAGGAUCUGCCAUUGCCCUGAGCUAUGGUGUAGGUUGCAGGACUCAGCUCAGAUCUGGCGUUGCUGUGGCUGUGGUGUAGGCCAGCAGAAACAGCUCCGAUUUGACCCCCAGCCUGGGAACUUCUAUAUGCCGCAGGUGCAGCCCUAAAAAGACUUAAAAAAGAAGAAGAAGAAAAUCCAUCCCCAUUCUGGCAGGCCACACUCUGGGAGGUUGGCCUUAUGGGCACAAAGCAAACAAACUCCACCAGCCUCUGGUGCCAUGUGCUCAUGAAGGGCUUACACAAGGAGGGCAUAUCACAAGGAUAUCAGAGAAGGUUCUGGAGUCAUCAGGGAUACUCUAUGGUAUCUACCAUGUGCCAGGCUCUGAGGAAACAAAGGCACAAAACCGUAAGCGGCGGCUCUCGAGAGUCAUGUGUGGUGUAGAGGGAGGCGUGUAAAGACACAAGUAACAGGUGCCCUUGGAGAGGGGCCUGGCGCAGACUCACUCCGCUCUGCCUCGGGGGCUUAGAGAAGGCUUCUCAGAAGAGGUGAUUGCCGAGCCAAAGGAGAAAGGCCUUCCAGGUAUAGGAACAAGCCUGGGCAAAGGCAGGGAGACAUAAGGAAACAGUGUCUGAACAACUAGACGCCAUUCAGUAUGGCUGCGGGGUGGGCAGAGCUGACAGACAAAGCUCCGGGACACCAGGGGGUCAGCUUUCAGGAAGCAUCAGCAAAGCCGAUCACUUCCUGGUGAGAGGAAGAGGAUGUCCUUGACACUGUUGGCGCUGCCAUGAAACCUGAGAGAGGAUCCCAAGGUGGGGGGGGGAAGGAAGGCCGACAUGCGGCGUCUGAGACGCCUGUGGGUCAUUCCAGCAGGAUGCCAGCUCUGUGUCUGGACAGUUCUGGUCUGAGGACCGAAUAAGACAGGGUAGCUACUGGAGUUCCUGUCGUGGCUCAGUGGUUAACAAAUCCGACUAGGAACCAUGAGUUGGCGGGUUCGAUCCCUGGCCUCUCUCAGUGGGUUAAGGAUCCAGCGUUGCCGUGAGCUGCAGCGUAGGUUGCAGACGUAGGUUUCCAGAGCCCGAGUUGCUACGGCUCUGGCAUAAGCUAGUGGCUACAGCUCCAAUUCGACCCCUAGUCUGGGAACCUCCAUAUGC